CCCGGACGCUGGGCCAAUUGUGUGCCGCCCAGCCACGGCCGGACGUGAUACAGCCUGGAUUCGAACCAGGGACUGUAGUGACACCCCUUGUACUGAGAUGCAGUGUGUUAGACCGCUGCACCACUCAGGAGCCCAGUGUGUGUGAGAGAGAGAGCAGUGUGUGUGAGAGAGAGCAGUGAGUGAGAGAGAGAGCAGUGUGUGUGAGAGAGAGCAGUGUGUGUGUGAGAGAGAGAGAGCAGUGUGUGUGAGAGAGAGCAGUGUGUGUGUGAUUGAGAGAGCAGUGUGUGUGUGAGAGAGAGAGAGCAGUGUGUGAGAGAGAGAGCAGUGUGUGUGUGUGUGAGAGAGAGAGAGAAAGCAGUGUGAGAGAGAGAGAGCAGUGUGUGAGAGAGAGAGAGAGAGGGCAAGAGAGAGAAAGCAGUGUGUGAGAGAGAGAGAGCAGUGUGUGUGAGAGAGAGCAGUGUGUGUGAGAGAGAGAGAGAGAGCAGUGUGUGUGAGAGAGAGCAGUGUGUGUGAGAGAGAGAGAGAGAGCAGUGUGUGUGAGAGAGAGAUGCGUAUGGAUAAACCACCUCUCCAAUCUUUUUGGCUCUAUACAAAUAUUAGAAUCAACUAUUAAAGACUACCAGAACCCACUGGAUUCUCCAAUUACCUUGAAUGAAGUACAGGGCAAAAUACAAACCCUCCAACCCAAAAAGGCCUGUGGUGUUGAUGGUAUCCUAAAUGAAAUGAUCAAAAAUACAGACCACAAAUUCCAAUUGGCUAUACUAAAACUCUUUAACAUCAUCCUUAGCCCUGGCAUCUUCCCUAAUAUUUUGAACAAAGGACUGAUCACCCCCAAUUCAGAAAAGUGGAGACAAAUUCUAACCAAAUAACUAUCGUGGGAUAAGAGUCAACAGUAACCUUGGGAAAAUACUCUGCAUUAUCAUUCACAGCAGAAUCCUACAGACUAGUUAAUUUACCUCAGUGAAAACAAUGUCCUGAGCAAAUGUCAAAUUGGCUUUUUACCAAAUUACCGUACGACAGACCACGUAGUCACUCUGCACACCCCAUUUGAUAAACAAACAAACCAAAACAAAGGCAAAGUUGUCUCAUGCUUGGUUGAUUUCAAAAAAGCUUUUGACUCAAUUUGUCAUGAGGGUCUGCUAUACAAAUUGAUGGAAAGUGGUGUUGGGGGAAAAACAUACGACAUUAUAAAAUCCAUGUACACAAACA
rnacentral:lncRNA from 1 species